rnacentral:misc_RNA from 1 species
UUUGGUAUUCCGAAGGGCAUGCCUGUUUGAGUGUCUUAUAAACCUCUCUAAUACCUUUUACGAGGUGCUAGAGCUUUGGGUGUUGCCAUCGGCUCGCCUUAAAUGCCUAAGUGGAAUGCGUAAUAAGUUCUCGCAACCCUCCACUCUAAUACACUUUAUAUUCUGACCUCAAAUCAGGUAGGACUACCCGCUGAACUUAA